rnacentral:rRNA from 1 species
GAAAGCUAUUUAGGUAGCGCCUCGUGAAUUCAUCUCCGGGGGUAGAGCACUGUUUCGGCAAGGGGGUCAUCCCGACUUACCAACCCGAUGCAAACUGCGAAUACCGGAGAAUGUUAUCACGGGAGACACACGGCGGGUGCUAACGUCCGUCGUGAAGAGGGAAACAACCCAGACCGCCAGCUAAGGUCCCAAAGUCAUGGUUAAGUGGGAAACGAUGUGGGAAGGCCCAGACAGCCAGGAUGUUGGCUUAGAAGCAGCCAUCAUUUAAAGAAAGCGUAAUAGCUCACUGGUCGAGUCGGCCUGCGCGGAAGAUGUAACGGGGCUAAACCAUGCACCGAAGCUGCGGCAGCGACGCUGAUGCGUUGUUGGGUAGGGGAGCGUUCUGUAAGCCUGUGAAGGUGUGCUGUGAGGCAUGCUGGAGGUAUCAGAAGUGCGAAUGCUGACAUAAGUAACGAUAAAGCGGGUGAAAAGCCCGCUCGCCGGAAGACCAAGGGUUCCUGUCCAACGUUAAUCGGGGCAGGGUGAGUCGACCCCUAAGGCGAGGCCGAAAGGCGUAGUCGAUGGGAAACAGGUUAAUAUUCCUGUACUUGGUGUUACUGCGAAGGGGGGACGGAGAAGGCUAUGUUGGCCGGGCGACGGUUGUCCCGGUUUAAGCGUGUAGGCUGGUUUUCCAGGCAAAUCCGGAAAACUAAGGCUGAGGCGUGAUGACGAGGCACUACGGUGCUGAAGCAACAAAUGCCCUGCUUCCAGGAAAAGCCUCUAAGCAUCAGGUAACAUCAAAUCGUACCCCAAACCGACACAGGUGGUCAGGUAGAGAAUACCAAGGCGCUUGAGAGAACUCGGGUGAAGGAACUAGGCAAAAUGGUGCCGUAACUUCGGGAGAAGGCACGCUGAUAUGUAGGUGAAGUCCCUCGCGGAUGGAGCUGAAAUCAGUCGAAGAUACCAGCUGGCUGCAACUGUUUAUUAAAAACACAGCACUGUGCAAACACGAAAGUGGACGUAUACGGUGUGACGCCUGCCCGGUGCCGGAAGGUUAAUUGAUGGGGUCAGCGCAAGCGAAGCUCUUGAUCGAAGCCCCGGUAAACGGCGGCCGUAACUAUAACGGUCCUAAGGUAGCGAAAUUCCUUGUCGGGUAAGUUCCGACCUGCACGAAUGGCGUAAUGAUGGCCAGGCUGUCUCCACCCGAGACUCAGUGAAAUUGAACUCGCUGUGAAGAUGCAGUGUACCCGCGGCAAGACGGAAAGACCCCGUGAACCUUUACUAUAGCUUGACACUGAACAUUGAGCCUUGAUGUGUAGGAUAGGUGGGAGGCUUUGAAGUGUGGACGCCAGUCUGCAUGGAGCCGACCUUGAAAUACCACCCUUUAAUGUUUGAUGUUCUAACGUUGACCCGUAAUCCGGGUUGCGGACAGUGUCUGGUGGGUAGUUUGACUGGGGCGGUCUCCUCCUAAAGAGUAACGGAGGAGCACGAAGGUUGGCUAAUCCUGGUCGGACAUCAGGAGGUUAGUGCAAUGGCAUAAGCCAGCUUGACUGCGAGCGUGACGGCGCGAGCAGGUGCGAAAGCAGGUCAUAGUGAUCCGGUGGUUCUGAAUGGAAGGGCCAUCGCUCAACGGAUAAAAGGUACUCCGGGGAUAACAGGCUGAUACCGCCCAAGAGUUCAUAUCGACGGCGGUGUUUGGCACCUCGAUGUCGGCUCAUCACAUCCUGGGGCUGAAGUAGGUCCCAAGGGUAUGGCUGUUCGCCAUUUAAAGUGGUACGCGAGCUGGGUUUAGAACGUCGUGAGACAGUUCGGUCCCUAUCUGCCGUGGGCGCUGGAGAACUGAGGGGGGCUGCUCCUAGUACGAGAGGACCGGAGUGGACGCAUCACUGGUGUUCGGGUUGUCAUGCCAAUGGCACUGCCCGGUAGCUAAAUGCGGAAGAGAUAAGUGCUGAAAGCAUCUAAGCACGAAACUUGCCCCGAGAUGAGUUCUCCCUGACUCCUUGAGAGUCCUGAAGGAACGUUGAAG